rnacentral:rRNA from 1 species
GGGGGUAGUGCUUAUAAUGCAGUCGACGAACUUCUUGGUAUUUGAUUGGUGCUUUGCAUUCAUGAUUUACAUUUUGAGUGAGUGGCGAACUGGUGAGUAACACGUGGGAAACCUGCCCAGAAGCGGGGGAUAACACCUGGAAACAGAUGCUAAUACCGCAUAACAACUUGGACCGCAUGGUCCGAGUUUGAAAGAUGGCUUCGGCUAUCACUUUUGGAUGGUCCCGCGGCGUAUUAGCUAGAUGGUGGGGUAACGGCUCACCAUGGCAAUGAUACGUAGCCGACCUGAGAGGGUAAUCGGCCACAUUGGGACUGAGACACGGCCCAAACUCCUACGGGAGGCAGCAGUAGGGAAUCUUCCACAAUGGACGAAAGUCUGAUGGAGCAACGCCGCGUGAGUGAAGAAGGGUUUCGGCUCGUAAAACUCUGUUGUUAAAGAAGAACAUAUCUGAGAGUAACUGUUCAGGUAUUGACGGUAUUUAACCAGAAAGCCACGGCUAACUACGUGCCAGCAGCCGCGGUAAUACGUAGGUGGCAAGCGUUGUCCGGAUUUAUUGGGCGUAAAGCGAGCGCAGGCGGUUUUUUAAGUCUGAUGUGAAAGCCUUCGGCUCAACCGAAGAAGUGCAUCGGAAACUGGGAAACUUGAGUGCAGAAGAGGACAGUGGAACUCCAUGUGUAGCGGUGAAAUGCGUAGAUAUAUGGAAGAACACCAGUGGCGAAGGCGGCUGUCUGGUCUGUAACUGACGCUGAGGCUCGAAAGUAUGGGUAGCAAACAGGAUUAGAUACCCUGGUAGUCCAUACCGUAAACGAUGAAUGCUAAGUGUUGGAGGGUUUCCGCCCUUCAGUGCUGCAGCUAACGCAUUAAGCAUUCCGCCUGGGGAGUACGGCCGCAAGGCUGAAACUCAAAGGAAUUGACGGGGGCCCGCACAAGCGGUGGAGCAUGUGGGUUUAAUUCGAAGCUACGCGAAGAACCUUACCAGGUCUUGACAUACUAUGCAAAUCUAAGAGAUUAGACGUUCCCGUUUCGGGGACAUGGAUACAGGGUGAUGCAUGGAUGUCGUCAGCUCGUGUCGUGAGAUGUUGGGCUAGUCCCGCAACGAGCGCACCGUUAUAUCAGUUGCAGCAAUAGCUGGUACCUCUGGUUGAGACUGCCGAUGACCAAGCGAAGGAAGGCUGGGGGGAUGAACCGGUUCCAAUUCGCGACACUGCUCCAACACUG